rnacentral:tRNA from 1 species
GAGAGAGGCUUGCAGCAACGAAGACUGCUAAUUUUCGCCACCUUGGUUGGAUCCCACGGCUCACUCG